rnacentral:misc_RNA from 1 species
GUCCUAAAUCGCAUCACGAAGCUCUUUUAGUUCAAGGUCACGGGUCAAGCCAAGGCUCCUGACCUACGUGGCAGACAGACUCAGACGCCUCCCAGCAGUGAAGUGAACUUCAGGUCAGCAGUGUUCGGCCUGCUGCUGCCCGGAGGUAUCCGGUGGAGGUCUGCCGCUAUUCCUGGCCGAUACUGGAGAACGGCAGAGUCCUCUCAGAAGCAGCAUCAAUUCGGUCAUACUCCAGGCCAGACUCUGGUCAUCAAGUGGAAAGCACUGGACGGUGCAGCUGUCAACGUCUUUUCACAUGAAAGGCAUAUGGAGAAGAAUAGGAAAGAAGAGCCUGAAACUUGCUAGGCGAAGCAGUUCCACGGAGAAUGGGAGCGGAACAUCUGCCCACCUAGUGGUGGUCGAGGACUCGCCGACUCUGGACUCAGAAAUAGAGGGAACACUGGUCGACGGUAUAACUGAUCUCAGCCCAGGGGGACAGGACGAGGGAAAGGCGCCGACACAGGGCACAAGAGCCAUGGAGCCAACAACCAGCCUGGACAAGAUGAUACCGGAGGAGGAGGAACUCGAUGGGGACGGUGAUGAGGACGCUGAGGAGGCGGAGGACGCUGAGGACCAGGAGGAAGGAACAGCGCCCGUCUCCCUCGCGCCGGCUACCUCCGAGGAGAACCUGGACAGCGACGGUGCCGGCAGCUACAGCUACGGCACACAGUUCACGUUCCACGGCGGUCUGUACGGCUACCCGGUGGCUGUGGUCCGCCGCCGGCUGGCCGCCGUGCCCGUCAUCAAGGGCUACACCAUGACCGAUGUCGACUUCCCGCUCUACUUCUCCAGCUACGACAUCCCGGUGGUGAGCGCCAGCCGCCACGCCAGCUUCACGCGCCGCCACCGUCUGGUGCGCCUCCACAACCGGUACACCUCCAUGCCGGCAAUGCGCACAGAGCGGUCGAUCUCACGCACCGGUACCCUGGUGGCGACCGGAGGAAGCUCAGGUGCACAGGUGGCGCCGCCGGCCGAGGAUGAGCCCAAACCGCUGACGGCCAAUGGACCGUAAACUUUGGCAGGUGAUGCGGUAGCUAGCAACCAGCUAUCUUCAGCCUCCAGGAGGCGAGCUGGCAGUUAAUGGAUGAAACUGCAGCGAUGUCUUCUUAUAAGACGAAGAUGUUCUUCCGUACCUUGCGAUGAUCUCUCUUUAAUCCAAAGUCUUCUUUAGUCAGAUCGACAGAAUUAUCCGAGUGUAAAUAAGCGAAGUAUAGUAGAAUACAUCCAUAACAUCCUAUGGAUCGGAAGAAAUAGUUCAACGCAUAUACUUUCCAUCUCCAAUGUUAAAAACGACGCUAGGAUAACAUCAGCAAUGUGAAAGAGGUGUUAUGAUUUCCGACCGACUGAUAACAAAGCCUUCCAGCUAUUAUCAGCUUUGUCAGAAAAAGGCAUCUACCACGCAGUGAGACGGUCCUGUGCACUGUGCAUGGCCUGCUGUUCCUUCCGAUGACGGGCCAUACCACUCAUCCAUGGCCCGUGCAGCCACUCUGUCAUGUUGGUUCUCCAGACCUGGUGGUGCCCACGAAGAUAGGCCGAGGCAUCAACUACAUGUACGCGAUCGAUGUGCUUUGCUGUUGUCGCUUCUGCUGUAUGUAUCAGUAUGUUGUCCGUGAACUGAUCGGCGGCUAAGGUCAAACAGAGUUUCGCGUUUCGUGUUAUGAUUACCGAGUCUACUAGAUAUUGGAGCAGAAAUGCUAGGAAGCUUAGAUGAAAUGUGGGCAAGCUAUUUUGUGCGGGAAAUUGCGUUAAUGAAUUACGCUCUGACAGUCUGGGCAAUAAAUAAUUAAUUU